AUUGAACGCUGGCGGCAUGCCUUACACAUGCAAGUCGAACGGCAGCACGGGGGGUAACCCCUGGUGGCGAGUGGCGAACGGGUGAGUAAUAUAUCGGAACGUGUCCUGUAGCGGGGGAUAACCUAUCGAAAGAUGGACUAAUACCGCAUACGACCUACGGGUGAAAGCGGAGGACCGCAAGGCUUCGCACUAUAGGAGCGGCCGAUAUCGGAUUAGCUAGUUGGCGGGGUAACGGCCCACCAAGGCGACGAUCCGUAGCUGGUCUGAGAGGACGAUCAGCCACACUGGAACUGAGACACGGUCCAGAUUCCUACGGGAGGCAGCAGUGGGGAAUUUUGGACAAUGGGCGCAAGCCUGAUCCAGCCAUGCCGCGUGAGUGAAGAAGGCCUUCGGGUUGUAAAGCUCUUUCGGCGGGGACGAAACGGUUCGUGCUAAUACCACGGACUACUGACGGUACCCGCAGAAGAAGCACCGGCUAACUACGUG
rnacentral:rRNA from 1 species